rnacentral:rRNA from 1 species
AUUGAACGCUGGCGGCAGGCCUAACACAUGCAAGUCGAGCGGAUGAAGGGAGCUUGCUCCUGGAUUCAGCGGCGGACGGGUGAGUAAUGCCUAGGAAUCUGCCUGGUAGUGGGGGAUAACGUCCGGAAACGGGCGCUAAUACCGCAUACGUCCUGCGGGAGCAAGUGGGGGAUCUUCGGACCUCACGCUAUCAGAUGAGCCUAGGUCGGAUUAGCUAGUUGGUGGGGUAAAGGCCUACCAAGGCGACGAUCCGUAACUGGUCUGAGAGGAUGAUCAGUCACACUGGAACUGAGACACGGUCCAGACGCCUACGGGAGGCAGCAGUGGGGAAUAUUGGACAAUGGGCGAAAGCCUGAUACAGCCAGGCCGCGUGUGUGAAGAAGGUCUUCGGAUUGUAAAGCACUUUAAGUUGGGAGGAAGGGCAGUAAGUUAAUACCUUGCUGUUGUGACGGUACCAACAGAAUAAGCACCGGCUAACUUCGUG